UCAGUCCUCAGGCUCCGAUGGGGCUCUGCUCCGCUCCCUGAGUCGCACCCAGAGGGCAGUGGGCACUCACCGGGGCCAUCUCAGGCUAAGAGGCCAGCUUAUCCAGCGUGGGGCAGCACACUGCCCCAGCACUCAUCUUUCCGGUUCCUGCAGAGUUGGCGUUUGUGGUCCUGAAGGCAGAUUUCAACUUCCUGACUCCCAUGGACCCUGAGGAAAUGAAAGAACAGAUCCUUUGGGAGAUCCAUGAAGCUAUGGAAAAGGUUUUGGGUAAUGAGGAAUUCAGACUCACCUGGAUCGGCUACGAAGUGCCCCCAAACUAGACCUUCGAGUCUAGUCUCUGCUCAAGAAGGGGCAUUUUCCUUCCCUGUUAUGUCCCCAAAUGCCGGUGGUACCUGAAUAGCCAGGAGGAGCAGCCUAAUGAACCUUGGAGGAAAUGGACGGCCCAAUCUGGUGCCCACUUCCCACUGCUCCAGUUACAGCUGAGACUGGGCAGAAAGGAGGGAAACGGAGGAAGAGGAGGAGAAGGGAUUGUCUGUGAACACCGACUAUUUCCCAGGGCUUUUCCAGAGAGGGAGCAGUUUUACCUGAGUUCCAGUUGGGCUCUGGUGAAAUCUGUCUCCUCAGUUAGUGGCCUUAUGCCUGCCUUCCCUUUCCUGCCAAUUGCCCCGAUACUGACCCCCCCAAGCUCCCAGCCACCAGAAGCAAAGAUGACGACCCGUCGGUUGCUAAAGCAAAGGUGGCGAAGUGUCCAUCAAUGAAGAGGUUGACUCUCAAAUGUUUAAAGUUAAAGUUUAUUUGUCCUCUUUGUAGGAAUAUCAAUAAAAGACCUCAAACAUAUCUAUAUCUGUACAUGUACAAGAACCGUUCAAAAUUAUUCACAGAACAAAAAUAAAUCCUCUUUAGAACAAGCCCAGGUAAUGAAAUGCAGACACAGAUCUCACACAGGAAACUGUCCAGUGCUAAGAGCACAAAAAUAUGGCUUUAAAAUUAAAUAAAAUCUCAGGUUUCCAUUUUUCUAAGGUGUAUUCUCUCUCGAAAUAAAAAUAAAUUAUUUAGAGCUAUCAUUGCAAAAUAGUCCUGUGUAGUAAGAAACUCUUAUUAAGGCCCUGGAUAUGGGGGGGG